UUGAAGAAAUUUGGAAGAAGAAUGAUGAAGGAAGAAGAUGAAUAGUAGCCAUAGAAAAUGUGUGAAAAUGUUAAAAUGAAGAAGCCUAGAGCUUACAACAUUAACAUAACCCCUUGUUGAGUUACUAUUGAAAGUUAAGCCUUGUUGUCAUGCCACAUCAGCCCAGUUAAUGUUUUUUCAGCCAAUUUAACGCAAAGGAUUAAGUUGGCUAACAAAACCAUUGUUAAGGGACUAAGUUGUAA
rnacentral:lncRNA from 1 species